rnacentral:lncRNA from 1 species
AAAGGCCUCCGCCGCUCUCGGCUUGAACGCGUGGAACCGUUCUCCUCGGGUUCCCGCGCGCUCCAAUGGGGGACCCCUCGGCAGCGUGCGGUCGUCUCGGGACCCGGAAAGAGGAAAGAGUGAGCCUCGCAGCUGGUCCCUGCUAGAGCAGCUGGGCCUGGCCGGGGCAGACCUGGCGGCCCCCGGGGUACAGCAGCAGCUGGAGCUGGAGCGGGAGCGGCUGCGGCGGGAAAUCCGCAAGGAGCUGAAGCUGAAGGAGGGUGCUGAGAACCUGCGGCGGGCCACCACUGACCUGGGCCGCAGCCUGGGCCCCGUAGAGCUGCUGCUGCGGGGCUCCUCGCGCCGCCUCGACCUGCUGCACCAGCAGCUGCAGGAGCUGCACGCCCACGUGGUGCUUCCCGACCCGGCGGCCACCCACGAUGGCCCCCAGUCCCCUGGUGCGGGUGGCCCCACCUGCUCGGCCACCAACCUGAGCCGCGUGGCGGGCCUGGAGAAGCAGUUGGCCAUUGAGCUGAAGGUGAAGCAGGGGGCGGAGAACAUGAUCCAGACCUACAGCAAUGGCAGCACCAAGGACCGGAAGCU